UACGAAGGGGGCUAGCGUUGUUCGGAUUUACUGGGCGUAAAGCGCACGUAGGCGGAUCGAUCAGUCAGGGGUGAAAUCCCAGGGCUCAACCCUGGAACUGCCUUUGAUACUGUCGAUCUGGAGUAUGGAAGAGGUGAGUGGAAUUCCGAGUGUAGAGGUGAAAUUCGUAGAUAUUCGGAGGAACACCAGUGGCGAAGGCGGCUCACUGGUCCAUUACUGACGCUGAGGCGCGACAGCGUGGGGAGCAAACAGG
rnacentral:rRNA from 1 species